ACAACGGCUGGCGGCAUGCCUAAUACAUGCAAGUCGAGCGAACAGAUGAAGUGCUUGCACUUCUGACGUUAGCGGCGAACGGGUGAGUAACACGUAAGGAAUCUACCUAUAAGCGGGGGAUAACAUUCGGAAACGGGUGCUAAUACCGCAUAAUAUCUUCUUCCGCAUGGAAGAAGAUUGAAAGACGGCUCUGCUGUCACUUAUAGAUGACCUUGCGGUGCAUUAGUUAGUUGGUGGGGUAAUGGGCCUACCAAGACGAUGAUGCAUAGCCGACCUGAGAGGGUGAUCGGCCACAUUGGGACUGAGACACGGCCCAAACUCCUACGGGAGGCAGCAGUAGGGAAUCUUCCGCAAUGGGCGAAAGCCUGACGGAGCAAUGCCGCGUGAGUGAAGAAGGCCUUCGGGUCGUAAAACUCUGUUAUAAGAGAAGAACAAAUUGUAGAGUAACUGCUACAGUCUUGACGGUAUCUUAUCAGAAAGCCACGGCUAACUACGUG
rnacentral:rRNA from 1 species